CAAAAAUACGAUACGGGACUCAUCCGAGGCCCCGUAAUCGGAAUGAGUACACUCUAAACCCUUUAACGAGGAUCAAUUGGAGGGCAAGUCUGGUGCCAGCAGCCGCGGUAACACCAGCUCCAAUAGCGUAUAUUAAAGUUGUUGCGGUUAAAAAGCUCGUAGUCGAAUUUGUGUCCCGCGCCGCCGGUUCAUCGCUCGCGGUGUUAACUGGCGUGUCCGCGGGACGUCCUGCCGGUGGGCUUAGCUUUCGGGCGGCCCAAUCUCAAUCCCACCGCGGUGCUCUUUACUGAGUGUCGAGGUGGGCCGGCACGUUUACUUUGAACAAAUUAGAGUGCUUAAAGCAGGCUAAAAUAUCGCCUGAAUACUGUGUGCAUGGAAUAAUGGAAUAGGACCUCGGUUCUAUUUUGUUGGUUUUCGGAACCCCGAGGUAAUGAUUAAUAGGAACGGAUGGGGGCAUUCGUAUUGCGACGUUAGAGGUGAAAUUGUUGGAUCGUCGCAAGACGGACAGAAGCGAAAGCAUUUGCCAAAAACGUUUUCAUUGAUCAAGAACGAAAGUUAGAGGUUCGAAGGCGAUCAGAUACCGCCCUAGUUCUAACCAUAAACGAUGCCAGCUAGCGAUCCGCCGACGUUCCUCCGAUGACUCGGCGGGCAGCUUCCGGGAAACCAAAGCUUUUGGGAUCCGGGGGAAGUAUGGUUGCAAAGCUGAAACUUAAAGGAAUUGACGGAAGGGCACCACCAGGAGUGGAGCCUGCGGCUUAAUUUGACUCAACACGGGAAACCUCACCAGGCCCGGACACCGGAAGGAUUGACAGAUUGAGAG
rnacentral:rRNA from 1 species